GACAGAGGGGGCAAGCGUUGCUCGGAAUUACUGGGCGUAAAGGGCUCGUAGGCGGCCAACUAAGUCGGACGUGAAAUCCCUCGGCUUAACCGGGGAACUGCGUCCGAUACUGGAUGGCUUGAGUUUGGGAGAGGGAUGCGGAAUUCCAGGUGUAGCGGUGAAAUGCGUAGAUAUCUGGAGGAACACCGGUGGCGAAGGCGGCAUCCUGGACCAACACUGACGCUGAGGAGCGAAAGCCAGGGGAGCAAACGGG
rnacentral:rRNA from 1 species